GAUUUCUGGGCUCAAGAAUUUGGCCGGCCACGGUUUCGUGUGUUAGUGCUUUGUUCUGUGUCCAUCCUUCCAAUUGCUAUUGGCUAUUCUUCAUUGAUUGGUCAGUAGUAUUGGAUCUUUUACUUUGAAAAAAUUAGAGUGUUUCAAGCAGGCUUUAUGCUAUGAAUACAUUAGCAUGGAAUAAUAAUUUAGGACUUCGGUUCUAUUUUGUUGGUUUCUAGGACUGAAGUAAUGAUUGAUAGGGACAGUUGGGGGUGCUAGUAUUCAGUGCGAAGAGGUGAAAUUCUUGGAUCCACUGAAGACUAACUUAUGCGAAAGCAUU
rnacentral:rRNA from 1 species